rnacentral:rRNA from 1 species
UACGAGGGGAGCUAGCGUUGUUCGGAAUUACUGGGCGUAAAGCGUGCGUAGGCGGUUUGCCGUGUCCUGUGUGAAAGCCCCGGGCUCAACCUGGGAAUUGCAUGGGAAACUGGCAGGCUUGAGUGUGGCAGAGGAGGGUGGAAUUCCGCGUGUAGCAGUGAAAUGCGUAGAGAUGCGGAGGAACACCGAUGGCGAAGGCAGCCCUCUGGGCCAACACUGACGCUCAGGCACGAAAGCGUGGGGAGCAAACAGG